rnacentral:rRNA from 1 species
AUACGUAGGGUGCGAGCGUUGUCCGGAAUUACUGGGCGUAAAGAGCUCGUAGGCGGUUUGUCGCGUCGUUCGUGAAAUCUUGAUGCUUAACAUCAAGCGUGCGGGCGAUACGGGCAGACUUGAGUACUACAGGGGAGACUGGAAUUCCUGGUGUAGCGGUGAAAUGCGCAGAUAUCAGGAGGAACACCGGUGGCGAAGGCGGGUCUCUGGGUAGUAACUGACGCUGAGGAGCGAAAGCGUGGGUAGCGAACAGGAUUAGAGACCCUGGUAGUCCACGCCGUAAACGGUGGGUACUAGGUGUGGGUCCCUUUUCACGGGAUCCGUGCCGUAGCUAACGCAUUAAGUACCCCGCCUGGGGAGUACGGCCGCAAGGCUAAA